rnacentral:rRNA from 1 species
UGAGGAACAUGACUUUCGGCGGGGGAUAGCCGGCCCAACGGCCGGGUAAUACCGCGUACGACCUUUUGGGGACAUCCCUGAUUGGUGAAAGCAGCAAUGCGCCGAAAGAGUGCCUCGCGGCCUAUCAGCUAGUUGGUGAGGUAAUGGCUCACCAAGGCGACGACGGGUAGCCGGCCUGAGAGGGUGACCGGCCACACUGGGACUGAGACACGGCCCAGACUCCUACGGGAGGCAG